GGCUUACAAAAGCUGUGUUCAGUUGAAUUUUUGACCUCAGAGGCUGCUGAAAACAAAGAGGAAAUCAUCAUCCAUCGGUUAAGAAAUCUACAAAAGGAUGACUUGGAUUUUCCUAGUGAUUCUCUGCCUUUUGUUCAUGACCAGGACCGGCCAGCUUCAGUGUGUCAGAGGUGCGAUUUUUUAAAACUGCAGUCAAUUGGAAUAAAUACAUCCCGCAUUUAACAUUGAAAUUAAAAGUGAUUUUGCUUUCUUGGGCAGAAACUUUAAACGACAAAGAGUUCUCCAUUACUGUGACCCCCACAACCAUUGAAGUGAAAUCCGGUGACUGCUUUUGGAUCGAGUAUGAUUUCACCUUUCCAAUGAACAAAGUGACGUUCCCUCUUCGCAUUUGGUUCCAAGAAGAUCCGCAGAACAAAAAAACUCACAUAGAACAAAACAAAAAAGUUGUAAACCAUGAACAAUCUGGGACAAGACACCGUGUUAAGAUGAAGUCCCUACCGCAAGGAGAGUAUGAAUUUGGCUUCAAGUUGAAAUGGGGAUGUAAUCAGACGUAUGUUUUUCCAAAGAAGGUUCGGAUCAUAGUUUCUGCAUUAACACAAAAACCAAGCGUGAGCAUUCCACCUUUGCUGGAAGGACAAAAGGCUACACUACUAUGUACUGCUCCAAGUAUAUGCUCGGAUAUCACUCCAAAAAUUUACUGGAAGGGGAUCAAGGAUGUUCUGUCCAUGAGAGGAGCUCCUUCUCGGUUGAUUUUAACCUUCACUCCCGCAGCAGACUAUCACAAUGCCAACAUCACUUGUGUGGCAAAAUUUGAUUCCAUCCGUGCUGAGACGACUGUCACCUUAACUGUGAAGUUUGCUCCUCAGAUCCUAAACAGUUCCCAGUGCAUGGUCGACAGCAGGCUUCUGGUCUUUGUGUGCAUCAGUUGGGGUAAUCCCCUGCCACUGAUCACCUGGCCUUUAGCUUCGCUCACAGACUUCUCAGUCACCAGCUCUAGGAGUGACCAAACAGUGAACAGCACCGUCGUAAUGCCCACUGCUGACUACCACAACUCCAGUGUAAGAUGCAUCAGCGGCAACGCAUUGGGCCGGGCUGACAUUGAAAUCCCACUCCAUUACUACAGAGGGGAUUUAAGCGUGAAGUAUGGGUUAGAUUCCAGUCCCAGGUCUGAUGCAGUCCACUGCUGGCCAAUCACUGGUGUGUCUUUAAGUGUGAACGUGGCCCUCCUCACAGCCCUGAUCGUCUGCACUGUCAAACGGGGUAAAAGUCAAGAACAAAGGAAGGAACUUGGUGAAGAAAUGUCCCCUUACGCUUCCCUGAAUCGGGCAGACAAUGAUCAAAAUACCUACAGCAAUAUUUCUCCGUCACAAAGACAAAGUACUUAAGUUCACCUUUUGCUUGUUUCCUCUUUUUCUUUUCUUUUCUUUUUUUUUUUUUUUCUUAGUUGCAACAGCAAAGAUACAGACAUGGCGUGCAGAUGGGGAGAUAUGGGAGAAUGCAGGUUAACAACAGGAGUGAUUUAGAGAAAUCAAUAUAAGCUGUAGAUGUACAAAGAGAAGAUGGUUGUAAAAAAGUCCGAAAAGGUAUUUGGGUCAUAACCCAAGGACCCAAGGAUCAAAACCUUCAGAUGCAUUGAUUAUGAUGUCUGUGGCGGUGGUGACAAUAGAAUCAAGCAAAAGGACAGUCUGUAGAAAUAAUAUAAACAAAGAUAAUAGAAUAUUGAUUUUGUGUUUGCUAUAGUGUAGGCAAGUCUAUAGUCCCCUCUGUGUUUAUCCGUGUGAAUGUACAUGGAUGUCAGCCCUGUACCCUCCGCCUCUCCUACGGCUUGCAUCCAUCCUACAUUUUUGUCUUUUGGUUUUCUUAUGAUUUGUGCUAUCCUUGUUUUAAUAAAUCCCUCUUGCGCCCUCCUUGUCACAUGCCCUGAGACAGUUUGUGACAGCUUCAUUCAAUAAAAGACAGUGAGAAUUCUGGGAAUGAGGUGUGAA
rnacentral:lncRNA from 1 species